rnacentral:rRNA from 1 species
UACGGAGGGUGCAAGCGUUGUUCGGAAUUAUUGGGCGUAAAGCGCGCGCAGGCGGUCUGAAAAGUCUAUGGGUGAAAUGCCGGGGCUCAACCCCGUGCAUGCCCAGGAUACUGUCAGACUGGAGACACGUAGAGGCAAGCGGAAUUUCGGGUGUAGCGGUGGAAUGCGUAGAUAUCCGAAAGAACACCGGAGGCGAAGGCGGCUUGCUGGGCGUGAUCUGACGCUGAGGCGCGAAAGCGUGGGGAGCGAACAGG